GUGCUUGCCUCGGCAGUGCAUGUACUACAAUCGAAAUGAUACCGAGAUUAGCAUGACCCCUAUGGAAGAUGACCCCCAAUACAUGAAGCAUUCCAUAUCUUU
ensembl:snRNA U6 U6 spliceosomal RNA